GGGCGAUUAGCUCAGUUGGUUAGAGCGCCUGCUUGACAUGCAGGAGGUCGUUAGUUCAAGUCUAAUAUCGCCCACCA
rnacentral:tRNA from 1 species